CCCCCACAGGCACUUCCUACAGGAGCAGCUUCCAAGCCGAGUUCCUGGCGGGCACUGUCCCCCAACAGCAAGCUGGAACAAAGGCCGCAUGACUGAGUGCGCCCGUGCCUGUCAGGGCGCGGGGAAGAAAUCAGAGCUCCAUAGCCAGCCUGGCCUGGAGGGAAAGGCAAGCCGAGGCCUUGCUCCUGUAACUGCCAAACCGUCCCCCCUCACGGCGGCCUGCCUUUUCCCAUGCUGGCCCGGGGUCUUCGUCCUCUUGGCCUGGAUUCAAAAGGGCAGUACAAGAAGUGGAAUCCUAAGAAUGGUAUCCCUGAGCUCCAGCCUAUGGAAUGAAACAAUGACAUCUGUUUAUCAGUACCUUGGUUUUCAAGUUCAAAAAAUUUACCCUGUCCAUGAUAACUGGAACACUGCCUGCUUUGUCAUUCUGCUUUUAUUUAUGUUUACAGUAGUAUCGUUAGUGGUGCUGGCUUUCCUUUAUGAAGUGCUUGCCUGCUGCUGAAUUUUGUUUAGAGCAAGAUGAUCCUCCAUGUUCUAGCUUUGCUUUCUUCUUCUUCAAUGGUGAUAAUGUUGAUGCCUCAGAAGAUACUGAACGUUUUUCUACUACAGGAGUGGAAAGAGCUCGUUUUUCAAACAGCUCCCCUUCUCUCAAAAGGCUUGGAUUCAUAAUGUUUAUGCCAGUGGUUGGACCCUGUUCGGUCUCCACUUUCGGUCCUCGGGUAUCAGGGUUCUCUCCUGCGAGUCUUCCGUAGAUUAUUUAGGGAGUUUUUCUGUGUUUUAGUUGUAAUUCCAAUUUGU